CACACCCCCACCCCCCGCGACCAGACCCCCACGCCGCCGCUCGGGCACCUCCCCAGAGCGCCGCCGCCCGGCCUCCUCCUGCGCGCCCCCGCUCGGCCUCCUCCUCAGCGUGCCGCCGCCCGUCUCGCUCCAUAGCUCGCCCCCGCCCGGCCUCCUCCCCAGCGCACCGCCGCCCGUCUCGCUCGACAACGUGCCACCGCCGGUUGCCUAUGUAGACCUCUUCCCUAGCGCCCUGUUCCCACCACCCACCUCCCGGCGAACAGCCGCACCUCGACACCUCGCCACCCACAUCCCGGCCAACCGAAAAGCGCGAUGGGGAGGUUUGAGCACAUGGAGCUCCCUCCCAUGUUCUUUCAUCUGAGCACGUCCUAGUUCAUGCUCCUCGUUAGGUCGACCUCCUGAUCUGCAGGCAAAAAACAAAGAAAAAUUUCCGUGGGCAAUUCGAUGCUCCCAGCCUCCGAGUCGAAGUUCACCUCCAUGUGCUGCUCCACUCGUACCUCCCAGCCUACCCUUGAGCAAGUUUGUGUCAUGCGCGAGAUCAGUUCAACCUGUGCACUUGUUACGUUUGUGGGAAUGUCUGAGCAAAAAGAGAAACUAUAUAUUUUUGUGCAACAUUUCGACCCUGCAUCCCGUGAGUUCCUGAUUUUCUUUUGUGCAACAGUUCGACCUCGACACUUUUGGCAGUCCCACAAGGACGAGUCUGGUCUACGAUCAAGCACUUGGUUCCCAAGCGAGUUCCUGCGGCUGAAGGUGGACCUCAUGGAGUUCGGCCGGACUGGCGGCGGUCGACGGUGGACGCGGGUGCAUGAGUUGUGGGGCUCCAUCUGCCGCCCGACCACCACUUACUCCCACUCUGUUCGCUGAUUUUGUUUUCACUGUCACAGCUGUUCCUCGUCGACCUGCAGCAGCAGGAGACACGAGAUCACCUCCGACACCGCUGGUCACAUGAAGGCCAUCAAAAAUGGUAUAUUAUCCAUAAAAAAGGUACGGCUUGGUAUUGACUUGCUGCUGCCUGUCGUGAUUUAGGAGGUUCGGAUGACCAGGGAUGCGAGCACCUGCCGGAGAGCUCCUCCUCAAUGAGUAAUUGGCCUUGUGAUGCGCUUGUGCUCUACACAUGUUUGUCUUAAUGCCUUUAAAGAAAAGAACAUGUUUCUGAUGUUCAAUAGUAUGGUCCUUCUCAGCAGAUGUUAUACAGUAUACAUCUUUUCAGUACAAACUUUUAAGAAGUUUCUUUUUGAACUUCUCACAAUUAAUAUACAUGAACUUGAUUAUCUUUUUAACAUGUACUGAUAUCAGCUUCGUUGGAUUUUUGUGCGUGUGCUUGUAACACAAUCAGUUCAGAUCUCGGGAGACCAUAAGUUCAAGUUCACUAGUAUUUAUAAAUGUUUAUUGUAGUACUAGUAUUUACAAAUUUCUUAUAAUUUCCACGAGUCGGAGGCUGUACAUAUUUCUUAUUUCUAUUGCUAUAAGUUCAAGUGAUGAAAUGCUAUAAGCUCGCAUGUUAUUCUCCAAAUAGUUCAAGUGAUCAUUGUUUUAUUUUUUUGUGUAUAUCUAUAAGAGUAAACUUUGUGACCUGAACUUUCUACUUACUACUUAGAGAAAGUCCCUUUUGUAGCAUGAACUUUCUUCUUAUUGCUUAGAGAAGGUCCCUUGGAAAACAUGACUAGCUUUCCAAGUUGGGUUAUCCUCAAACGGUUUAUAUUUUAAUAUGGAAUAGGAAUAUAUGUUUGCUUUGGAGCAUGUUUUACAAUUAGAACCUUUCAGACUUCAUAUUCUUUGCGUAUGCAAAAAACAGAGGACAAAAUUUGGCUACCUGCGUAUAGUUUUUAUAAUUUCCAUGGGGAAACUAAUAUUCAUGCACCUCUCUGGUGGAUGUUUUGAUGCAUUUCCUUCAUGAAUUGUAGUUGUCGGAUGGUGUUACACAAUUACUAUUCUAGCAUCAUUGUUUAUAUUGUAUUUUUUUAGCAUUCUUGCGACCCUAUUAACAACAUCUUUUUGUGCAGUGUUUGUUGGUUUUUCUUUGAUUUAUGGACAUCUUGGGCUUGCUGGGUGUAGAAUCAAGAAAGCCAGUAAGAGGUACUAGUAGGGGAGGAAGAAAUAAUGUGAAAAAUGAGAUAAAUGUGAGAAUAGCAAGUAGAAAAGCGUGAGAGCGAUUCAGAUUUUUUUAAAGGUUCUUAAUGUACAUGUACCUUUGGUAUGUAGAUGCACUGUAAUGUAUCUGGAAAGUACGAAUGGUUAAUACCUCAAUGGUGCACUAUGCAUCUUUGGCAGUUUUUAUGCAUUUUUAUUCGUUAUGCAGCAA